GUGCGCGUUCUGUCCACCCUAACAAAAUAGAGGAAGCUUUGUUGGAGUGUUGAAGCUGGAGUUGGAGACUUGCGGGGCUCACAGAUUUUGGGUAUAGCAAAAACUGGGUCUGAGAGAAAAAGAGAGGAGAUGGGGAUAGUGGCGAAGGCAGGUGAUUGGGCGUUCAAGGCAUUCACGGCGGGGCUGGGAGUCACCACCAUCUACCUCACCGGCACUUUCUCUUUAAAUGUCUACAGAGGCAUCGCUUGGCACAAAGCUCAACCGAAAAUUGAGUAUGAGGAUGAACAAGCCUCAUAAUUAUGAGCCUUCCAGCUGGUUGGGAUUCUAUUCUCUGGGAAUGUUGCAGCACUGAUUUGUUCUUAUACGUUUUAUAUGUGUUGAUCUUGGACCCGUUGGCUUUACUAGCCGGUUGUUAUGCGGAGCUUGUGUGAUAUGGAUAUGGCAUAUUGAAAUACUUCUCUAGCUCCAAUUUACAGUUGAGAUCAUAUUAUUCAAUGUUAUUCAAUGUUGCAAUAGUAAAAGCAAAGUGUUUAAACAUCACUGUGCAUCUUAGUAACUUUCCAGAAAUGAACUCAUUGUAUCGAUUUGAUUCCCAUCGUGAUCAGCUUUUUGGUUGGAACCCUUGUGAGAUCUUGCAAAUGUGUUCUUGUUUCUCCAUGUUUAUGUAAUAACACAACCAAAGGAUUCGAAU